UGAACCUUCGGGGAACGAUAACGGCGUCGAGCGGCGGACGGGUGAGUAAUGCCUAGGAAAUUGCCCUGAUGUGGGGGAUAACCAUUGGAAACGAUGGCUAAUACCGCAUGAUGCCUACGGGCCAAAGAGGGGGACCUUCGGGCCUCUCGCGUCAGGAUAUGCCUAGGUGGGAUUAGCUAGUUGGUGAGGUAAGGGCUCACCAAGGCGACGAUCCCUAGCUGGUCUGAGAGGAUGAUCAGCCACACUGGAACUGAGACACGGUCCAGACUCCUACGGGAGGCAGCAGUGGGGAAUAUUGCACAAUGGGCGCAAGCCUGAUGCAGCCAUGCCGCGUGUAUGAAGAAGGCCUUCGGGUUGUAAAGUACUUUCAGUCGUGAGGAAGGUGGUAGUGUUAAUAGCGCUAUCAUUUGACGUUAGCGACAGAAGAAGCACCGGCUAACUCCGUGCCAGCAGCCGCGGUAAUACGGAGGGUGCGAGCGUUAAUCGGAAUUACUGGGCGUAAAGCGCAUGCAGGUGGUUUGUUAAGUCAGAUGUGAAAGCCCGGGGCUCAACCUCGGAAUAGCAUUUGAAACUGGCAGACUAGAGUACU
rnacentral:rRNA from 1 species